GGGAAUCUACCCAUUUCUGCGGAAUAGCUCUGGGAAACUGGAAUUAAUACCGCAUACGCCCUACGGGGGAAAGAUUUAUCGGGGAUGGAUGAGCCCGCGUUGGAUUAGCUAGUUGGUGGGGUAAAGGCCUACCAAGGCGACGAUCCAUAGCUGGUCUGAGAGGAUGAUCAGCCACAUUGGGACUGAGACACGGCCCAAACUCCUACGGGAGGCAGCAGUGGGGAAUAUUGGACAAUGGGCGCAAGCCUGAUCCAGCCAUGCCGCGUGAGUGAUGAAGGCCUUAGGGUUGUAAAGCUCUUUCACCGGUGAAGAUAAUGACGGUAACCGGAGAAGAAGCCCCGGCUAACUUCGUGCCAGCAGCCGCGGUAAUACGAAGGGGGCUAGCGUUGUUCGGAAUUACUGGGCGUAAAGCGCACGUAGGCGGAUAUUUAAGUCAGGGGUGAAAUCCCAGAGCUCAACUCUGGAACUGCCUUUGAUACUGGGUAUCUUGAGUAUGGAGGAGGUAAGUGGAAUUGCGAGU
rnacentral:rRNA from 1 species